GAUGAACGCUGGCGGUAUGCCUAACACAUGCAAGUCGUACGAGGGUUUUUAACUCUAGUGGCGGACGGGUGAGUAACACGUGAGAAUUUGCCUUUAGGAGGGGGAUAACAAUCGGAAACGAAUGCUAAUACCCCAUAUGCUUUCGAGUGAAAUGGAUUUAUCCGCCUAAAGAGAAGCUCGCGGCUGAUUAGCUUGUUGGUAAGGUAAGAGCUUACCAAGGCGACGAUCAGUAUCUGGUUUGAGAGGACGAUCAGACACACUGGAACUGAGACACGGUCCAGACUCCUACGGGAGGCAGCAGUGGGGAAUUUUCCGCAAUGGGCGAAAGCCUGACGGAGCAAUACCGCGUGAGGGAAGACUGCCUAUGGGUUGUAAACCUCUUUUUUCUAGGGAGGAAUAAAAUAGACGUGUACCUGAAGAAUAAGCAUCGGCUAACUCCGUG
rnacentral:rRNA from 1 species